rnacentral:rRNA from 1 species
ACGAUGCGUAGCCGGACCUGAGAGGUUGAACGGCCACAUUGGGACUGAGACACGGCCCAGACUCCUACGGGAGGCAGCAGUGGGGAAUAUUGCGCAAUGGGGGCAACCCUGACGCAGCAACGCCGCGUGAUUGAAGAAGGCCUUCGGGUUGUAAAGAUCUUUAAUCAGGGACGAAACAUGACGGUACCUGAAGAAUAAGCUCCGGCUAACUAC